GGCUGUGACUGUGAGGCUGUUACUGUGAGGCUGUUACUNNNNNNNNNNNNNNNNNNNNNNNNNNNNNNNNNNNNNNNNNNNNNNNNNNNNNNNNNNNNNNNNNNNNNNNNNNNNUGUAGCCUAUUGAUUACCUGUAGCCUAGUGAUUGUAUGUAGCCUAGUGAAUACCUGUAGCCUAGUGAAUACCUGUAGCCUAGUGAUUACCUGUAGCCUAGUGAUUAUAUGUAGCCAAGUGAUUACCUGUAGCCUAGUGAAUAACUGUAGCCUAGUGAUUACCUGUAGCCUAGUGAUUACCUGUAGCCUAGUGAUUACCUGUAGCCUAGUGAUUAUAUGUAGCCAAGUGAUUACCUGUAGCCUAGUGAAUAACUGUAGCCUAGUGAUUACCUGUAGCCUAGUGAUUACCUGUAGCCUAUUGAUUACCUGUAGCCUAGUGAUUGUAUGUAGCCUAGUGAAUACCUGUAGCCUAGUGAAUACCUGUAGCCUAGUGAUUACCUGUAGCCUAGUGAUUAUAUGUAGCCAAGUGAUUACCUGUAGCCUAGUGAAUAACUGUAGCCUAGUGAUUACCUGUAGCCUAGUGAUUACCUGUAGCCUAGUGAUUACCUGUAGCCUAGUGAUUAUAUGUAGCCAAGUGAUUACCUGUAGCCUAGUGAAUAACUGUAGCCUAGUGAUUACCUGUAGCCUAGUGAUUACCUGUAGCCUAUGCAUUAGGCUAUAAACUGGGUCCUGGAAAUUUGCCAAUUUUUCUCUCAUUCCCAGCUACGCACAAGCUGGGUGACACGGGCGGCAUUUAACGGAAUAUCUUUUUUUUAAAUCAUAAGCUGCAAUGUAACACAUCUCUGGUAGACUAAACACGGAUUUAAGACUCGUGGAGGUGUGUCUUCGGUUACGUUUCUGAGCAUACUGAGAACGCCAGAAAUGAAUGUAGGAAAUGAAAUAGAAAGUUGCCCCGUUUCUCGCGGUAAAGGGAUUGUAUGGCAAUGCCAGAAAACGAAGCUGUUUAACCUAUAAACCCAAGUGACUGUCUUGAGGUAGACUCUGAAUCAUCAUCAGACAUACAAUAGCAGGCGUUGUUACACCGUUAUACCGUUACACUAUGCCAACCCAUAACCCAUCUAUGGCAUAAUCGUUUGAUCAUACAAUCGACCCUCACUAUCGAUUGAAGGAGAAUGUAUUAUGCCAGCCAUUUGCAGGCUGGCUACACGACCGCAGACACUGUUCUUUAUGUUCACCCACACACAACCUCAAUUAUUUAUGUCCCCUGCCAGCCUUGAAGAUCAACUCGUCUUUCGGAGAUGCUAUUCAUCAGAACGGAUCGAAAUGUAGGCAAGGCUAUAUGACAGAAUCUGGUCUUCUUUAGCCCAUGACAAAGAGAACAAUAAAUUGCGCACAUAGAAUAAACUACACGAGGAUAAUGAAGGGUUGAAUGUCUAUGAAACAAUUGUAAAAUGAGCGACAAUCGCCACAACGUGUCGCCUAUUCAAAAUAUGUUCAGCUUCGUCUAGCUUAGCCUACUAUAUGGCUGAGGAAACAAUAGGCAGCAUUUGUAGCCGAGCCUCGAGGAGGAUGUGAGAGAGUUGAUGUAUGAAAUGUAACAUGAGCGAGCCAACCGUGCACCGUACACUCAGUAGCUGCUUCCCUCCCUGCUCUCUGUUCCGUUAGUCAGACAUUAACCGCCCGGUGGUGGCAGAAAAUGAAAUGAUUCUGUGCCCCACAAAAAAACACACAUUACCAGUGGAAUAACCUUAAAUUGAAUUAAUGUGUAAAUGUAAACCUAUGAAGUUCUGCACUGUAGCCUAGGGUUGUCACAAAAUAAUAUAGAUAUCAUUUGCGUAUAAUUUGAUUAGUUUGAUUGAGUUUUGGAGGAAAAUAUAGGCUUCAUCCCUUCUCUCAUGCGAGGAUAUUUGCAUGAGGUCUAAAUAACAAGACUCAACCUUUAAGCGGAAAUGUGUUCUGAACGUUCUGUUUUCAAAAACGUAAAGAGAAAAAAAAUGAUAUCAACCUGCAUUAAUGAUUCAUGCUCAAAUGCUACUUUUUCAGCAUUAAACGCCAUAAAUGAGAUUGAACAACAUAUUGUGACACAGAAAUUACAAAAUUCACUAUCGGAAAUAAAAUACUAUAAUUAAUCUAAUAGUCAAUGAACUCUAAUCAUUUGCAUAUAGCCUAGCUCAUAUAGCUGUAACCUAGGUGAUGAUGAUGAUUCCUUUGCCUACCUGUAUUGGCUUGAAUUGAUUUUAUUCCUUUAGAAUUGAUCAGUCCCUUCAGUGUAGUACGGUGGACGGCGUGUUGAAUAGUGAGACUUACGGCGGUAAAUGUUAUUUAUAAGGUUUUCUUUCUGACCUUUGUCUCUUAAAAUGGGUGACCAUGUGUGGAAAAACACCGGCCAACCUCCCAGUGCAACAGGAGAGCGUCUUCUUAAAGAGGCAGGUUUCACUAGAAUCAGCUCGGCGCUUGUUCCGCGCAGCAGCAUCACGUUGGCCUGUACGCACGCGCGCACAAAGAGAGCCCAAGAGGUCGGAGGGAACCGAAAGCACACAGAAACAACACAGCCUACCAUGGCCAUGCGUGCCUGAAAACAAAUAUAAUUACCACUCAAGUAUAGUUCAAUUCAUAAACUUUGAAAAAAAAUGCAUUUACACUUGUUUUGCAGUUUUGCAAAUGCAGUUUGUAAACAAACACUUUCCAUUCUAAGAUAAUUCU
rnacentral:lncRNA from 13 species